UGAGGAAUAUUGGUCAAUGGGCGCAGGCCUGAACCAGCCAAGUCGCGUGAGGGAAGACGGUCCUACGGAUUGUAAACCUCUUUUGUCGGGGAGUAACGUGCGGGACGGGUCCCGUAUUGAGAGUACCCGAAGAAAAAGCAUCGGCUAACUCCGUGCCAGCAGCCGCGGUAAUACGGAAGGUCCGGGCGUUAUCCGGAUUUAUUGGGUUUAAAGGGAGCGUUAGGCGGUCUGGUAAGUCAGCUGUGAAAACGCGGGGCUCAACUCCGCGCCUGCAGUUGAUACUGUCGGACUUGAGUGCACGCAGGGAUGCCGGAAUUCAUGGUGUAGCGGUGAAAUGCUUAGAUAUCAUGAAGAACUCCGAUCGCGAAGGCAGGUGUCCGGA
rnacentral:rRNA from 1 species